rnacentral:rRNA from 1 species
UUAAGGGUGAGAGCGGCGGACGGGUGAGUAAUGUCUGGGAAACUGCCUGAUGGAGGGGGAUAACUACUGGAAACGGUAGCUAAUAACGUCUUCGGACCAAAGAGGGGGACCUUCGGGCCUCUUGCCAUCAGAUGUGCCCAGAUGGGACUAGUAGGUGAGGUAAUGGCUCACCUAGGCGACGAUCCCUAGCUGGUCUGAGAGGAUGACCAGCCACACUGGAACUGAGACACGGUCCAGACUCCUACGGGAGGCAGCAGUGGGGAAUAUUGCACAAUGGGCGCAAGCCUGAUGCAGCCAUGCCGCGUGUGUGAAGAAGGCCUUCGGGUUGUAAAGCACUUUCAGCGGGGAGGAAGGCGGUGAGGUUAAUAACCUCAUCGAUUGACGUUACCCGCAGAAGAAGCACCGGCUAACUCCGUGCCAGCAGCCGCGGUAAUACGGAGGGUGCAAGGGUUAAUCGGAAUGACUGGGCGUAAAGCGCACGCAGGCGGUUUGUUAAGUCAGAUGUGAAAUCCCCGAGCUUAACUUGGGAACUGCAUUUGAAACUGGCAAGCUAGAGUCUUGUAGAGGGGGGUAGAAUUCCAGGUGUAGCGGUGAAAUGCGUAGAGAUCUGGAGGAAUACCGGUGGCGAANGCGGCCCCCUGGACAAAGACUGACGCUCAUGUGCAAAAGCGUGGGGAGCAAACAGGAUUAG